AGUCGAGCGCUUCUAGCUUGCUAGAGGAGCGGCGAACGGGUGAGUAACGCGUAGGAAUCUGCCUGGUAGUGGGGGACAACGUCUCGAAAGGGACGCUAAUACCGCAUACGCCCUACGGGGGAAAGGGGGGGAUCUUCGGACCUCUCGCUAUCAGAUGAGCCUGCGUCGGAUUAGCUAGUUGGUGAGGUAAAGGCUCACCAAGGCGACGAUCCGUAGCUGGUCUGAGAGGAUGAUCAGCCACACCGGAACUGAGACACGGUCCGGACUCCUACGGGAGGCAGCAGUGGGGAAUAUUGGACAAUGGGGGCAACCCUGAUCCAGCCAUGCCGCGUGUGUGAAGAAGGCCUUCGGGUUGUAAAGCACUUUAAGGGGGGAGGAAGGUUCGCUGGUGAAUAUCCAGCGGAAUUGACGUUACCCCCAGAAUAAGCACCGGCUAACUUCGUGCCAGCAGCCGCGGUAAUACGAGGGGUGCAAGCGUUAAUCGGAAUUACUGGGCGUAAAGCGCGCGUAGGCGGCUGAGUAAGUCGAUUGUGAAAGCCCCGGGCUCAACCUGGGAAUUGCAGUCGAGACUGUUCGGCUAGAGUGUGGGAGAGGGUGGUGGAAUUCCCGGUGUAGCGGUGAAAUGCGUAGAUAUCGGGAGGAACAUCAGUGGCGAAGGCGACCACCUGGCCCAACACUGACGCUGAGGUGCGAAAGCGUGGGUAGCAAACAGGAUUAGAUACCCUGGUAGUCCACGCCGUAAACGAUGUCGACUAGCCGUUGGAGACCUUAGAGUCUUUAGUGGCGCAGCUAACGCACUAAGUCGACCGCCUGGGGAGUACGGCCGCAAGGUUAAAACUCAAAUGAAUUGACGGGGGCCCGCACAAGCGGUGGAGCAUGUGGUUUAAUUCGAUGCAACGCGAAGAACCUUACCGCCCCUUGACAUCCUGGGAACUCGCUAGAGAUAGCUUG
rnacentral:rRNA from 1 species